rnacentral:rRNA from 1 species
CCUACGGGUGGCUGCAGUGAGGAAUAUUUGUCAAUGGCCGAGAGGCUGAACCAGCCAAGUCGCGUGGGGGAAUAAUGUCCUAUGGAUUGUAAACCUCUGUUGUCAGGGAGCAAAUUCACCCACUUGUGGGAGUUGGAGAGUACCUGAAUAACAAGCUUCGGCUAACUCCGUUACAGCAGCCGCGGUAAUACGGAGUAUGCGAGCGUUAGCCUGAUUUAUUGGGUUAAAGGGGUGCGUAGGCGGUGUAUCAAGUGAGCGGUAAAAUCGUGGAGCUCACAUGCAACCAGCAGUUGAAACUGAUGAUCUUGAGUGGGCGAGAAGUAUGCGGAAUGCUCGGUGUAGCGGUGAAAUGCAUAGAUAUCAAGCAGAACUCCGAUUGCGAAGGCAGCAUACCGGCGACCGACUGACGCUGAAGCACGAAAGCGUGGGUAUCGAACAGGAUUAGAUACCCUUGUAGUC